GCCGGGCAUGGUGGCGGGUGCCUGUAAUCCCAGCUACGCGGGAGGCUGAGGCAUGAGAAUCACUUGAACCCAGAGGCAGAGGUUGCAGUGAGCUGAGAUCGUCCCACUGCACUUCUGCCUGGGUGACAGAGUGAGAUUCCGUCUCAA
rnacentral:SRP_RNA from 1 species